rnacentral:rRNA from 1 species
GACGAACCGAGCGAACGUUAUUCGGAAUCACUGGGCUUAAAGGGUGCGUAGGCGGGCCCGUCAGUCAGGGGUGAAAUCCCACGGCCCAACCGUGGAAGGGCCUCUGAUACUGCGGGCCUGGAGGGGGAUAGGGGCGUGCGGAACUUCCGGUGGAGCGGUGAAAUGCGUAGAUAUCGGAAGGAACACCGGUGGCGAAAGCGGCGCGCUGGAUCCCUACUGACGCUGAGGCACGAAAGCCAGGGGAGCAAACGGG